rnacentral:rRNA from 1 species
GUGUCAUGAAUAUCUCAACUCUCAAAGUUUCUGUAAUGGGAUCAUUGAGAGCUUGGACUUGGAGGCUUGCCGGUAGUCACUAUCAGCUCCUCUUAAAUAUAUUAGCUCUGGAUUACGAUGUAGUUUAUCUACGGUGUGAUACAUGUCUACGCUAUUAGAUAACUACGAACGUUACCAUUCCCUAGAAAUUGGGGAGUAGUGUUUUGUUGAUACAAAGCCGUGUGACUAGUAAAUACAAAGCUUCUAAUUGUCCUUUGGACAAACUUCUUUUGACAUCUGACCUCAAAUCAGGUAGGACUACCCGCUGAACUUAAGCAUAUCAAUAAGCGGAGGAAAAGAAACUAACAAGGAUUCCCUUAGUAACUGCGAGUGAACCGGGAAAAGCUCAAAUUUAAAAUCUGGCAUCCUUUGGGUGUCCGAGUUGUAUUCUGGAGAAGCGUCUUCCGUGC